UGUUGAGGUAGUUGAGGUAGUUGAGGUAGUUGCUUCCAUCACAGUGGCCUGUGGGCGUGUCUGUCAGGGUGUGUACCUCAUUGAUGGUUGAUGUUAGAGGGUCCAGCACUCAUUGUGGGUGGUGUCACCUCCGGGCAAGCAGUCCUGGGUUGUAGAAGAAAACAAGCUGAACAAAUCAGGUCAUUAAAUCGAGUCCGGCCAUAGUUCUGGCUUCUGUUCCUGCUUGAGUUCCUGUCCUGACUUCCCCCAGUGAUGGACUGUGAUGGGACAGGAGGAAGCAUCUCUCCUGCCGGGUGAACAGGCACUGAUCUAACCGUAGCAGCUGUGGUUAGGAUUCAUCGAACAUAGCAGCAAGACGGAGUGAAGGCAAGCAGGCAACAAUCCCGAAGUUUCUUUCUUCCGUGUCCUUUUAUCUGCUCUCAACCUCUUGAAGAUCGACCCCCUUCUAUGACCAUAGCAACAGACUCUGAGCCGGUGGCUUCCUUCUAACUAAUGAGGGUCCACCCUACAUGGCCACUCGUACCACAAUGCCACAAGAUCACAUUGCUAUCAAGCGGGCUACCUGAGGCUGAACUUUGCCAUCAUAUACCGGGGAAAUGGAGUGUUUGGGAUUUGGAGUAUGAGCUCACCUGACUGCACAAGCCACUCCCGUCUGCUUGGAUCCUCCAUCUAGCAGCCCAGGGAAGGGCUGAGGCUAUGCCUAGGUGUCCCCAGCCUUCCUUUGCAUCCUGAGUCAUUGCCCUAUCCCUGAGCUGCUGUCCUCACCCACCCCCUGACCUGUACUGUGACCUCUACCACCUCCUUUUGCUGUAAGGCAGUCCUCUAAGGCCUUCCAGAGAAUGGGGCUACCAUUAGAGGGCUAGGAGCCGAUCUGCUCAUAUCUGGGACAAGCAUGACUUAGCUACUAGUUCUUCUUCCAAAGUUGCCAUCUUUAAGAUUCUAACGGGCACUCAUCCUCAACUCCAUCAGAGACCUGGUUGCUCCCUAACCCUGAAUGCUGCCAAAGUAUUUGUUUCUUGGGCCUGUCUUCAGGCAGCCAUGCCUGGUUGGCCUUUCCCUGCUCUCAGGUUCCUUCUCAUACUCCAGCUCCCUGCCACCACCUGGGAACCUUCCGUAUUCAUCCUCUUUCUUCUCUUCUGCCUCUUGGACUCCUAUGAAUACAGAAGGGCCCAUGUCCAGAUCUAUUUUUCCUUCUACUCCUGGCAUCAUGGCCUGACUCAGAGCCCGUCUAACACUUCCAGGAAUCUGAGCCCAGCUAGGUGAAUAUGUCAACAUUGGCAUCCAGCUUGCACCCUGCCCACCGGCCCCUCGAUGUACUACACUCCUGUCUUUGAGGAUGAGGGUGUGUGGGCUGAACUGGUUUCCUGUAACUCCUCCCCCACGAUUUUCCAUCUUCAGUUGUGUCCCCACGUCAGCCAGGACUCAAGGGGAGAGAGACACUUGUGCUGUGGAAAUUAGUUCCUGAGUUAACCAACUGGCUUUUCCCCUACAUUCCAAAAUAGUUCCCACUGUGCUUCCCAAUUUUCCCCAGACUUGGAGGUUCAGCAUUCGUGACUGAAUCCUGGUUCUCCAAAUUCCUUCCAUAAUCAAGUAGCCAAAGUCAUUGCCAAAACCUUCUGGCCCUUUGCUUAUGAGAGCUUUAUUUGUUCAAGCAAGAUUUUUUUUUUAGUAUAUAUAUAUUUAUCAUGUUUCCUAUGGGAUGCUGUUUUUAUUUUCACACGGUUGGAAAUGAAGGCGUAAUCAUUAUAAGCAUAUUAUAUAAAAAUGCGGUCAUAUUAAGUAAUAUGUAUUGACCCCUGACUAGGCCUGUACUAUUUUUUUUAAGUAAAGGAAUCUUGAGUGCUAAAACCCUGAAAGGGAGUGGUGGAUGAUGGGAGCUUAUUUUUCCCAGGCUGGCAUUAACUGGCAUGGCCCCCUUUGCCUUGGUUAUUAUUGAAAUAGAACGUUGGUGAGAGACCAUAGCCACUGUUGGCACUUUGUCUAGGCUCCGCCCCACAGUUACCUGGCAACAGCCACGUGUUCCUGACUUACCAUAAAAGUGGCCGUUUGCCUCCCUCCUUAUUCUAGUGCUCUCUUCUCUUCUCUUUUUCCUGCUCUCGGUUCCCAGCGUUCUCUCUCCACGUGUUCAUGGUCAGGCUCUACUCCUCUCCUCCUUCCCCUCCCCCUCCC